GUGGUCUGGUUGUCAUCAGCAGCAGUAGAGGGGACUGUGGUCUGGUUGUCAUCAGCAGCAGUAGAGGGGAAGGUGGUCUGGUUGUCAUCAGCAGCAGUAGAGGGGAAGGUGGUCUGGUUGUCAUCAGCAGCAGUAGAGGGGAAGGUGGUCUGGUUGUCAUCAGCAGCAGUAGAGGGGAAGGUGGUCUGGUUGUCAUCAGCAGCAGUAGAGGGGAAGGUGGUCUGGUUGUCAUCAGCAGCAGUAGAGGGGAAGGUGGUCUGGUUGUCAUCAGCAGCAGUAGAGGGGAAGGUGGUCUGGUUGUCAUCAGCAGCAGUAGAGGGGAAGGUGGUCUGGUUGUCAUCAGCAGCAGUAGAGGGGAAGGUGGUCUGGUUGUCAUCAGCAGCAGUAGAGGGGAAGGUGGUCUGGUUGUCAUCAGCAGCAGUAGAGGGGAAGGUGGUCUGGUUGUCAUCAGCAGCAGUAGAGGGGAAGGUGGUCUGGUUGUCAUCAGCAGCAGUAGAGGGGAAGGUGGUCUGGUUGUCAUCAGCAGCAGUAGAGGGGAAGGUGGUCUGGUUGUCAUCAGCAGCAGUAGAGGGGAAGGUGGUCUGGUUGUCAUCAGCAGCAGUAGAGGGGAAGGUGGUCUGGUUGUCAUCAGCAGCAGUAGAGGGGAAGGUGGUCUGGUUGUCAUCAGCAGCAGUAGAGGGGAAGGUGG